rnacentral:rRNA from 1 species
AGUUAGCCGAGGCUUAUUCGUCAGGUACCGUCAGAUCUUCUUCCCUGACAAAAGAGGUUUACAACCCAAAAGCCUUCCUCCCUCACGCGGUCUUGCUCCGUCAGGCUUUCGCCCAUUGCGGAAAAUUCCCCAC